AUUUUCCACGCCCAUGUUCAAUAGGACCCCACCACAUCCUUCAAUUGAAAAUUCCAUUUUCACUUACCCCUUCUAUUUUAUUUGAUACCCACGCCACUUACGGUUACACCGUAUUGUUAUCACUAUCUGAUUUCCAGGUACUAAAGGCCAAAGCUUCGAAACUUCCACAAUUAAAAGGUUUUCGAAAUCUCCGCAAUUGUGGCCGCAUCAUCCAUAUUUGUCCGCAGUUUUCCGCGAUAUCAAAGAUCGUAACAAAACCACAACCAACCGUGAAAGUUUACUAAAGCCAUGUUUGGAAGCAAAGCCAAAAAAUUGAGAUUUUCAGAAAAAAAAAAGAGAGAGAAAAAUAGUGGAAUACCAGAAAGCGGUGUAGCUAGAGAAGCCAAAGGAAGUGACCAUAAUAGCAAUCGAAGCGGCACCGAAGGCGCAUUGGCCGAACCUCAACAGGAACCCGCUAAUCGUCCCGGGCCCACCCAACAGCCGUUUCAUCAUCCCCUCCCUCCUUCCUUCUUUCUUUUUUCCUUCUCUCCCUUUGGGGGAAACCAAAACCCUAAUUUCAGAGUUUUUCCAUUUGAAGGGUUUCUUCUGCUCCUCACCCUCUCCACAUGGGUGUUUGAGAAAGCAGGUUUGAGAGAGAGAAUGUGAAUCGAAAGGGUGGAAUUUGCGGAAGAUAACUUUUGGGCGGUAGUAGCAGCAGUAAAUGGAAUCGUUGGGUAAAGUUUGUGCUAGGAACAAGGAUGAUGAUGAUGGUUAAUAAUGCUUGCUUACUGUUACUAUUACUGUUAUUCAGGAUCUCUUUUGUUAAUUUGGGUUAAUCAUACAUUCCAUCACUUCA